rnacentral:rRNA from 2 species
GGAAUCUUCCGCAAUGGACGAAAGUCUGACGGAGCAACGCCGCGUGAGUGAUGAAGGUUUUCGGAUCGUAAAGCUCUGUUGUUAGGGAAGAACAAGUACCGUUCGAAUAGGGCGGUACCUUGACGGUACCUAACCAGAAAGCCACGGCUAACUACGUGCCAGCAGCCGCGGUAAUACGUAGGUGGCAAGCGUUGUCCGGAAUUAUUGGGCGUAAAGGGCUCGCAGGCGGUUUCUUAAGUCUGAUGUGAAAGCCCCCGGCUCAACCGGGGAGGGUCAUUGGAAACUGGGGAACUUGAGUGCAGAAGAGGAGAGUGGAAUUCCACGUGUAGCGGUGAAAUGCGUAGAGAUGUGGAGGAACACCAGUGGCGAAGGCGACUCUCUGGUCUGUAACUGACGCUGAGGAGCGAAAGCGUGGGGAGCGAACAGGAUUAGAUACCCUGGUAGUCCACGCCGUAAACGAUGAGUGCUAAGUGUUAGGGGGUUUCCGCCCCUUAGUGCUGCAGCUAACGCAUUAAGCACUCCGCCUGGGGAGUACGGUCGCAAGACUGAAACUCAAAGGAAUUGACGGGGGCCCGCACAAGCGGUGGAGCAUGUGGUUUAAUUCGAAGCAACGCGAAGAACCUUACCAGGUCUUGACAUCCUCUGACAAUCCUAGAGAUAGGACGUCCCCUUCGGGGGCAGAGUGACAGGUGGUGCAUGGUUGUCGUCAGCUCGUGUCGUGAGAUGUUGGGUUAAGUCCCGCAACGAGCGCAACCCUUGAUCUUAGUUGCCAGCAUUCAGUUGGGCACUCUAAGGUGACUGCCGGUGACAAACCGGAGGAAGGUGGGGAUGACGUCAAAUCAUCAUGCCCCUUAUGACCUGGGCUACACACGUGCUACAAUGGACAGAACAAAGGGCAGCGAAACCGCGAGGUUAAGCCAAUCCCACAAAUCUGUUCUCAGUUCGGAUCGCAGUCUGCAACUCGACUGCGUGAAGCUGGAAUCGCUAGUAAUCGCGGAUCAG